rnacentral:rRNA from 1 species
AAAUUGAAGAGUUUGAUCAUGGCUCAGAUUGAACGCUGGCGGCAGGCCUAACACAUGCAAGUCGAACGGUAACAGGAAGCAGCUUGCUGCUUUGCUGACGAGUGGCGGACGGGUGAGUAAUGUCUGGGAAACUGCCUGAUGGAGGGGGAUAACUACUGGAAACGGUGGCUAAUACCGCAUAACGUCGCAAGACCAAAGAGGGGGACCUUCGGGCCUCUUGCCAUCAGAUGUGCCCAGAUGGGAUUAGCUAGUUGGUGAGGUAACGGCUCACCAAGGCGACGAUCCCUAGCUGGUCUGAGAGGAUGACCAGCCACACUGGAACUGAGACACGGUCCAGACUCCUACGGGAGGCAGCAGUGGGGAAUAUUGCACAAUGGGCGCAAGCCUGAUGCAGCCAUGCCGCGUGUAUGAAGAAGGCCUUAGGGUUGUAAAGUACUUUCAGCGGGGAGGAAGGUGUUGUGGUUAAUAACCGCAGCAAUUGACGUUACCCGCAGAAGAAGCACCGGCUAACUCCGUGCCAGCAGCCGCGGUAAUACGGAGGGUGCAAGCGUUAAUCGGAAUUACUGGGCGUAAAGCGCACGCAGGCGGUCUGUCAAGUCGGAUGUGAAAUCCCCGGGCUCAACCUGGGAACUGCAUUCGAAACUGGCAGGCUUGAGUCUUGUAGAGGGGGGUAGAAUUCCAGGU